GUGGGGAGGACCGAGCUAGCUUGCAAUAAACACUUCUUUGCUUCUUACAUCGAUAUUGGUCUCUGGUGGUCUUUUUGGGGUCCCGAAUUUGAGCAUAACACUCUUAAGGUGUGCAUAUUGGGUUUUGUAAAAAAAUAUUUAUUUUUUAGUUAUAGGUGGACACAAUAUCUUCAUUCUAUUUUCAUGUGGUGCUGAGGAUCGAAUCCAGUGCCUCUCGCAUGCUUGGAGAGCUACGAGCCACAACUUCAGCCCCAGUAGUGGUGUUUUCUACAGUCUGGUAGACACUGUGUGAGGACCAUGAUACCUCUGCGGGGAAGGCAGAUGAGUCCACCCGUGACCUCUGGUUUGAGCCCGCCCGUACUUUCACUCCCUGAGCAAGGAAUUAAAACGUUGGAGGAAGAUGAAGAGGAACUUUUUAAAGAUGCAAGCAAAGCUACUUGGAUUUGCUUCAGAGAAUGAUCUUCCAGGAGGAAGGAACCAGGCGCCCUCGAAGUUGAACAUGAGAAAAGGACCAUCUGCCUUCUCCUGAGGAGGGACAAGCCCCUGAAGAUACACCCCAGCCACUGUAUCCCACCGAGGCUGGGCUGAAGGCAAACCCGGCAACCACCAUGCCUGGGUUUGGAACCCCUGUGCUCACUUUGGUGACGAGGACCCCAAGCAGGGACUGCUGUCAAUCGGCUUCCUAAACGCUGGUCAGGCACAACAUUCAAAACAGUCUGAAGAAUGCAGUCUGAAGAGAUCGAUUUUUCCCCAGCAUUUUUCAGCAAAAGUGAUAAUGCUGAACAAGUGGCUGAAAAGCUGCAAGCUUCCUGGGAAGGAGGAAAGCCAGAGAGUGAAGACCCGGGAGAAAUCAGAAGCACCUGGCUGGGCACAAAUCACGAGCCACUCAAGGAGGAACAAACUUUAUUUCCCAACUCCCGCAAACGCCACCCACGCGGCCCUUCCAAGAACACCACACACCAACCAGAACUCCCUCCACCGGAACUUCCUCGGAACUCCGAAAGAACUCAAAAUAGCGGGGGCACCGGAGGCAGCAGGAGCUGCCCUAUUGCCAGA